rnacentral:rRNA from 1 species
ACGCUGGCGGCAGGCCUAACACAUGCAAGUCGAGCGGUAGGGAGAAGCUUGCUUCUCUUGAGAGCGGCGGACGGGUGAGUAAUGCCUAGGAAUCUGCCUGGUAGUGGGGGAUAACGCUCGGAAACGGACGCUAAUACCGCAUACGUCCUACGGGAGAAAGCAGGGGACCUUCGGGCCUUGCGCUAUCAGAUGAGCCUAGGUCGGAUUAGCUAGUUGGUGAGGUAAUGGCUCACCAAGGCGACGAUCCGUAACUGGUCUGAGAGGAUGAUCAGUCACACUGGAACUGAGACACGGUCCAGACUCCUACGGGAGGCAGCAGUGGGGAAUAUUGGACAAUGGGCGAAAGCCUGAUCCAGCCAUGCCGCGUGUGUGAAGAAGGUCUUCAGAUUGUAAAGCACUUUAAGUUGGGAGGAAGGGCAGUAAAUUAAUACUUUGCUGUUUUGACGUUACCGACAGAAUAAGCACCGGCUAACUCUGUGCCAGCAGCCGCGGUAAUACAGAGGGUGCAAGCGUUAAUCGGAAUUACUGGGCGUAAAGCGCGCGUAGGUGGUUCGUUAAGUUGGAUGUGAAAUCCCCGGGCUCAACCUGGGAACUGCAUUCAAAACUGUCGAGCUAGAGUAUGGUAGAGGGUGGUGGAAUUUCCUGUGUAGCGGUGAAAUGCGUAGAUAUAGGAAGGAACACCAGUGGCGAAGGCGACCACCUGGACUGAUACUGACACUGAGGUGCGAAAGCGUGGGGAGCAAAC